rnacentral:tRNA from 1 species
GGGCCCUUAGCUCAUUUGGUAGAGCGCCGGUUUUGCACUCCGGAGGUGAGCGGUUCGAAUCCGCUAGGGUCCAC